rnacentral:rRNA from 1 species
UACGUAGGCAGCGAGCGUUGUUCGGAGUUACUGGGCGUAAAGGGUGUGUAGGCGGUUGUUUAAGUUUGGUGUGAAAUCUCCCGGCUCAACUGGGAGGGUGCGCCGAAUACUGAAUGACUUCGAGUGCGGGAGAGGAGAGUGGAAUUCCUGGUGUAGCGGUGAAAUGCGCAGAUAUCAGGAGGAACACCGAUUGCGAAGGCAGCUCGCUGGAACGUAACUGACGCUGAGACGCGAAAGCGUGGGGAGCAAACAGG